GAUGAACGCUGGCGGCGUGCCUAACACAUGCAAGUCGAACGGAGAUUUAACGCUGACGAGACUUCGGUCAAAUCUUGUUAAAUCUUAGUGGCGGACGGGUGAGUAACGCGUGGGCAACCUGCCUCAUACUGGGGGAUAGCAGUUGGAAACGACUGAUAAUACCGCAUAAGCGCACGAGAUCGCAUGAUCUAGUGUGAAAAACUCCGGUGGUAUGAGAUGGGCCCGCGUCAGAUUAGCUAGUUGGUAAGGUAACGGCUUACCAAGGCGACGAUCUGUAGCCGGACUGAGAGGUCGGACGGCCACAUUGGGACUGAGACACGGCCCAAACUCCUACGGGAGGCAGCAGUGGGGGAUAUUGCACAAUGGAGGAAACUCUGAUGCAGCGACGCCGCGUGAGUGAAGAAGUAUUUCGGUAUGUAAAGCUCUAUCAGCAGGGAAGAAAGGCUCGCAAGAGAGAUGACGGUAC
rnacentral:rRNA from 1 species